GAAAAAGAGGAGUGGGGCCGGUUAGGGAUCAUAUGUGCAGGUAAUAGGGAAAGGAAAUAACAUUUCAAAUGUAAAUAUAGAAAUACCCAAUUAAAACAGGAAUAAAAUUUGCUAAAAAAAUAAAAAGAAAUAAAGAAAUUUAAGAAAAGAACACUGCGAAGUAUUCACAGCUAUUGACUCAGAAAUGUAAAAGUCAUUUUCAUGGAAUGAUAGUCAGAGUAAUACUAAUGGAAAGACUGAGAUGAUGAAGACUCAACUAGAAACACUUCUCUCUCCCAGAUAUCAGUAUCAGACAAAAACUGCACUAUAGGCAUCCAGAGCAUGGUGGAAUUUACUCUGAGGCGAGGACUCAAUACUUGUCUUUCCAUUCUUCCUUAGGACCAUUUUCUUCUUGACAAAAAGAAUAAGGCUAUGAGAUCUCAGCAAAACAACUGUGCCCUGCCCAUCACUUGGCUUUGGAAUAAAAAAAAAUAAUGAUAUAAACUCUUUGACUUCCAGGAAUGAUAUGAACAGGAACUGUAAGAGCAGGAAGUCCAGAUGCUUCUGAGAGGACCCCAGCUCCUAAUUCCCAUUUGUAGACGGCUCAGAUCAAGACAAUCUCUUCAUGAAACAACUCAACACCUACUAAGGACUCAGAGAGCUUUCCCAAGGACCUUUUUUGUACCAAGACAGAAGGACCAAAACCAUCAGCUUUAAAGAAAACUGUGCCCUUCCCAACACUUGGCUUUGGAAAAAAGACAUGAAUGAUAUAAAUUCUCCGACUUCCAGGAACCAUAACUAGCAGGGAAGUCCAGAUGCAUCUGAGAGGCUCCCAUCUCCUUAUUACCAUAUUUGGAAGGCUCCAAUCAAUACUAUCUUUUCAGCAAACCUUCUCAACCACUAACCAGAAAUGACUGAGAUUUCCCAUGGACCACAUAUUUCUUUUUUUUUAUAACAAAGCAGAAGGCCAGCUUCCUUCUUCCCAUCUUUGAUCACUUCAUCCUCUUUUUUCUCCUUCCCAAAGGCUGUUUAUGCUGAAUUAGAGGCCAAAUAGUAAACCCUAGAGGUACUGAAGGACUACUGGAGAGGCAACUUCUGUCAGGACAACACUUGUUACAUCACAGAAGAAACUAGGGAUCUCCAGGAUACAACAGAUUUUUUUAGAUAGGCCUAAUGGUGAUGUCACUGAGAAUUGCCAUGGCCUACCUGCUAAAGUGUUUUCCUUUCAAUGACCAGAUUCGAGGGUGCCCUUGCAAGGUUUGUCUCCUGUGAAAAAAUGGAAACCUUUUCAUACUACAUGUCUUUAAAGCUAGAAACUUCUCUUUAUUUCCUUAGUGGUUACAUGCUCUGAAAGGAAAAGAUAAUCAGGAGCUUUGCAUGGGUAGAAAAGAUCUCGGAACAUGGAGUGGAAGAGAUUCCUCUGGAUAAUAAUUUUAUUACCAGGUCCAUUACUGUGACAUACAGUUCAAUAUCCUAGGUUAUCUCUGUUUCCCAAAGGCCAGCAUUUUCCCUACAAUCCUUUAAUUGAAUUCAUAUUUCAUUACAGUUUCUCAUUGUACAUUCCUUGAUAGGUGACUUUAUAUAUUCCUGAAUGUGAAGUGAAAAAUUCUGUUUUCCAAUUUCAUGUUUUUUUGCAAUGAUUUUGGCAACCCAAGGGUCCCACCUAAGGUUGAAUAUAAAAAUGUAAAUAUUAUGUACCUACUUCCAAUGAUGAACUUCCAAAUCCUUAGUUUAUCCAAAAAUUUCGAGACAUCAGAAAAGCUAAGGAAAACAUGAAAUAUAGAAUAUGGUUCAGUAGUCUCAUUAGACAUCAGUUCUUUAAUAUCUAACUUCCUGUUCCUCUAGGGCCAGACGUGAAGGUUUUCGAGGUUUUACCAUGGUUGUUACUUCAGGACAAACAUAAAAUUCAGGAGGAUGUGCAGGAAGAUGAAUGGCUUGAUAUCCAGGGAAACUUCAACUUCAAUAGGUUCAUAAGAACAAGAGGGAGGUGUUUGGAAUUGCCAUUUGUGGAUUCUACAUUCUUGACCUAGGUGUACAUAAUCCAUGUGAAAAUUCCACCUAACCUCAUAGCUGUAGGAGCCACCAAAUGUAUAGUUGGAACCAGAUGUACAUCUUUCCUGAGAGACACAGCUUGAGCAAGUCAAAUACAGAAGAGAAUGCUACUGGCAAACCAGUGAACCAAAAAUGGAUCUCUUGUUGGUAGUUUUUGAGAAAGAAUUACAAGAGCUUAAGGGGAUUUCAAUUCCAUAAGAACAACAAUGCCAGUGAACCAGAGCUUUCUGGUACUAAACCAAUAUUCAAAGACUGUACUUGGACAGACCUAUGUGUCCAACUGCAUAUGUAGCAGUGGAUGGCCUUGUUGGGAACCAAUGGAAGGAGAAGUUCCUGGUCCAACCUAGGUUUAACUCUCAGUUCAAGGUAAUAUCAAGGUUCACUAAGGUAGGUUAUAGAAGAAUGUUAGGGGGACUAGUUACGGGUCUUAUGGACAUGAAACUGGGAAAGAAAAUCAAAUUUGAAAUUCAAAUAUAGAAAUAUCCAAAUAAAAAAAGCAAUAAAAUUUGCUAAAAAUUAAAAAAAAAUGAAAUAAAUUAAAGAAAAGACAUCUGUCAGCUAAUUACACAUAUUGACUCAGAAAUCUAAAGGUUAACUAUCAGGAAAUGGUAAUCAGAGUAAUACUAGUGGAAAGACUGAGAUGAUGAAGUCUCAACUAGAAGCUCUUCUCUCCCAAAUAUCAGUGUCAGACACAAACUGCACUAUAGGUAUCCAAAGCAUGGAGGCGUUUACACUGAGCUGAGGAGACAAUACUUGUCUAUCCUUUGUUUCUUCGGACCUUUUUCUUC